GACGAACGCUGGCGGCGUGCUUAACACAUGCAAGUCGAACGGAAAGGCCCUGCUUUUGUGGGGUGCUCGAGUGGCGAACGGGUGAGUAACACGUGAGUAACCUGCCCUUGACUUUGGGAUAACUUCAGGAAACUGGGGCUAAUACCGGAUAGGAGCUCUUGCUGCAUGGUGGGGGUUGGAAAGUUUCGGCGGUUGGGGAUAGACUCGCGGCUUAUCAGCUUGUUGGUGGGGUAGUGGCUUACCAAGGCUCUGACGGGUAGCCGGCCUGAGAGGUUGACCGGCCACAUUGGCACUGCGGUAGGGCCCAGACUCCUACGGGCGGCAGCAGUGGGGAAUAUUGCACAAUGGGCGGAAGCCAGAUGCAGCAACGCCGCGUGCGGGAUGACGGCCUUCGAGUUGUAAACCGAUUUCGAAUGUGACGAAGAGUGAGUGACGGUAAUGGGUAAAGAAGCACCGGCUAACUACGUG
rnacentral:rRNA from 1 species